rnacentral:pre_miRNA from 1 species
UAGUUCUGCAUCAACCGGGGAUUGUCCUUUGGUGUACAGGGAUAAUCGCCGGCUGACGUCCCAUUA